rnacentral:rRNA from 1 species
GAUGAACGCUGGCGGCGUGCCUAAUACAUGCAAGUCGAGCGAACGGACGAGAAGCUUGCUUCUCUGAUGUUAGCGGCGGACGGGUGAGUAACACGUGGAUAACCUACCUAUAAGACUGGGAUAACUUCGGGAAACCGGAGCUAAUACCGGAUAAUAUUUUGAACCGCAUGGUUCAAAAGUGAAAGACGGUUUUGCUGUCACUUAUAGAUGGAUCCGCGCUGCAUUAGCUAGUUGGUAAGGUAACGGCUUACCAAGGCAACGAUGCAUAGCCGACCUGAGAGGGUGAUCGGCCACACUGGAACUGAGACACGGUCCAGACUCCUACGGGAAGCAGCAGUAGGGAAUCUUCCGCAAUGGGCGAAAGCCUGACGGAGCAACGCCGCGUGAGUGAUGAAGGUCUUCGGAUCGUAAAACUCUGUUAUUAGGGAAGAACAUAUGUGUAAGUAACUGUGCACAUCUUGACGGUACCUAAUCAGAAAGCCACGGCUAACUACGUG